CUCCGGUUGAUCCCGCCCGACCCGACUGCUAUCAGAGUGGGACUAAGCCAUGCGAGUCAACGUAGCAAUACGUGGCAUACGGCUCAGUAACACGUAGUCAACAUGCCCAGGGGACGAGGAUAACCUCGGGAAACUGAGGAUAAACCUCGAUAGGCCAUGAUUUCUGGAAUGAUUCUUGGCUCAAACCUAUAUGGCCCCUGGAUUGGACUGCGGCCGAUCAGGCUGUUGGUGAGGUAAUGGCCCACCAAACCUAUUACCGGUACGGGCUCUGAGAGGAGGAGCCCGGAGAUGGGCACUGAGACAAGGGCCCAGGCCCUAUGGGGCGCAGCAGGCGCGAAACCUCUGCAAUAGGCGAAAGCCUGACAGGGUUACUCUGAGUGACUUUCGCUAAGAAAGUCUUUUGGCACCUCUAAAAAGGGUGCAGAAUAAGGGGUGGGCAAGUCUGGUGUCAGCCGCCGCGGUAAUACCAGCACCCCGAGUGGUCGGGACGAUUAUUGGGCCUAAAGCAUCCGUAGCCGGUCCUGCAAGUCUUCCGUUAAAUCCAGCUGCUCAACAGAUGGGCUGCGGGAGAUACUACAGGGCUAGGAGGCGGGAGAGGUAAGCGGUACUUUAUGGGUAGGGGUAAAAUCCGCUGAUCCAUAGAAGACCACCAGUGGCGAAGGCGGCUUGCCAGAACGCGCUCGACGGUGAGGGAUGGAAGCUGGGGGAGCAAACCGGAUUAGAUACCCGGGUAGUCCCAGCUGUAAACGAUGCAGACUCGGUGAUGGGUUGGCCUCGCGCCUGCCCAGUGCCGCAGGGAAGCCGUUAAGUCUGCCGCCUGGGGAGUACGGUCGCAAGACUGAAACUUAAAGGAAUUAACGGGGGAGCA
rnacentral:rRNA from 1 species